CAAUCUCAAUUUAAUUGUAUUUAUCUAUAGUAUCAAAUCAUAACAAGAGUUAUCUCAAGACUCUUUACAGAUAGAGCAGGUUAAGACCACACUCU